UUUUCAAGAGGUGGAUAAUGAAAUCUCCAGAGUCUCACCAAAAGUGAGAAUGCGUUGGAGAAGACUGCAUGACAAGAGAUUUCUUCCCCUGAUGGAAAAGUGCUUGAGACCUUGGGAACACUUGAACCAAAGACCUCGCAGAUGGGCAUCAAUGCACCUGCAAGUAAUGGAACCAAUCCAUGUAAAGAUAAAAUCUGUACACAAUCCACAGAUGCUAUUCCAACAAGCAGAACAUUCAAAAUUGGAGCAUAACUAAUCAAGUGGCUCUCACUUCCAGAGUAAUCGGAAGGAACUGGUGGUGACAACAAUUUUAUAAUGAAAAGAACAGUUUGUUCCUGUAUAUUCCAACCACGGAACAGAGAUGCUCCACAAAGAAUGGUAGCAGCAGCUAUCUUCUCAUCAUUGGAGCCACUGACUGCAAUCUCAUAUACUUUCUCGAUCUCUGGUAAACUUGAAGCAGGAGUUGCCACCAAA
rnacentral:misc_RNA from 1 species